rnacentral:lncRNA from 1 species
AGGGGGCAGAGCACCGUGGGGUGUGAGGGGGAAGAGCACAGUGGGGUGUGAGGGGGAAGAGCACAGUGGGGUGUGAGGGGGCAGAGCACAGUGGAGUGUGAGGGGGCAGAGCACAGUGGGGUGUGAGGGGGAAGAGCACUGGCUGGUGACACACCCUGCCUACAUUAUUGUGUGGUCUGUCUAGGUUGCUGAGUCACAGGCUCUUGCCUUUUCCACCGUCAUUUAGGCAGACAGUAGUAUUAGUGUUUCAUUUGUGAGGGCAGCAAGUAAUUGUAUAUUCCAUGCAAUGAGCAAAAGCAUUUAACGUACCUUCCCUGUGGCGCAGUUGGUAGAGCAUGGUGUGUGCAAUGCCAAAGCUUUGGGUUCGAUUCCCACAGGGGGCCAGUACAAAGAAAAAAAAUGUAUGAAAUGUAUGCAUUCACUACUGUAAGUCGCUCUGGAUAAGAGCAUCUGCUAAAUGACUAAAAUGUAAAAAAAUAUAACAUGGGAUAUAAAUGUAUACAUAAAUGCAACACUCUAUGCAUUUAGACACUAUUUAUUCUUAUUACUCAAAUUACUAUUACAACGUGAAAUGUUCUACAUUAUUCAAAAUACUUAUCAUAUUAAUUCAAUUUGAUUCUAGAAAAUAGCAGCAAGUACAUUGAAGUGGCACACAAUUAAUAUUCAUGCUGGCAACCCACUUUCAAGGUGUUUGUAUAGGGAAAGGGAAAGGUAUAGAGGACAUCAGUGGCAGAAAAUAAUGAUUUGUACUCUUAUAGUUGGCUUAUGGCCUGUAAUUAUGGAAUACUCAUGUUACAAACACAAAUGAUAAUUCAAUUACCAAGAAGAAAGUAAAAAACAUUCAAAUUAACCAGCAUUCUUAAUGUUCUGUAGUGUGUGACUUAUGCACAUGCACACACACGCACACACACGCACAUACACGCACACAAACAUUAUUCUCUUCCUCAGGUGAAGAAGGCUAAACGUGAUUGAUUGGCUGGCGAAGUGGUCUUUUCCCUGUGAUCCAACCGCAGGGUCAUAAGAUCUCAUAUUAUAACUACUUCACUACUACACACAUAAAUCCAAACCAUUUCAUGGGCUAACAGUUUUUCGCUUCAAUGCAACCCGUUCAAAAUUCAUAUGCAAAGCCAUGAUGACACAGUAAUGGACACAGUUGUUGGAAAAGACUCUUAAAUCCGCCAUAGUCUCUUG